AACGAACGCUGGCGGCAGGCCUAACACAUGCAAGUCGAGGGGGAAGCCACUUUCGGGUGGUGGAGACCGGCGCACGGGUGAGUAACGCGUGGGCACCUGCCCUGGGGUGGGGGAUAACCGCUGGAAACGGCGGCUAAUACCGCAUACGCCCUAUUUUCGUAGAGGAGAUGGGGGAAAGAUUUAUUGCCCUGGGAUGGGCCCGCGUUGGAUUAGCUUGUUGGUGGGUAAAGGCCUACCAAGGCGACGAUCCAUAGCUGGUCUGAGAGGAUGAUCAGCCACACUGGGACUGAGACACGGCCCAGACUCCUACGGGAGGCAGCAGUGGGGAAUAUUGGACAAUGGGGGCAACCCUGAUCCAGCCAUGCCGCGUGCGUGAAGAAGGCCUUAGGGUUGUAAAGCGCUUUCACCGGUGACGAUGAUGACGGUAGCCGGAGAAGAAGCCCCGGCUAACUCCGUG
rnacentral:rRNA from 1 species